GCCGCGGUGGCGGAACUGGCAGACGCACGGGACUCAAAAUCCCGCGGUCGCAAGAUCAUGAGGGUUCGACUCCCUCCCGCGGCA
rnacentral:tRNA from 7 species